GCCUGCAAGGUGUAGUGGUUUGAGCACUGGUCUACAAUUCUGGAGACCAAGGUUCAAUUCCUGGCUCGGCCA